rnacentral:rRNA from 1 species
AUUGAACGCUGGCGGCAGGCCUAACACAUGCAAGUCGAGCGGGGUUUUCGGACCUAGCGGCGGACGGGUGAGUAAUGCGUAGGAAGCUGCCCGAUAGAGGGGGAUACCAGUUGGAAACGACUGUUAAUACCGCAUAAUGUCUACGGACCAAAGUGUGGGACCUUCGGGCCACAUGCUAUCGGAUGCGCCUACGUGGGAUUAGCUAGUUGGUGAGGUAAUGGCUCACCAAGGCGACGAUCUCUAGCUGGUUUGAGAGGAUGAUCAGCCACACUGGAACUGAGACACGGUCUAGACUCCUACGGGAGGCAGCAGUGGGGAAUAUUGGACAAUGGGCGCAAGCCUGAUCCAGCCAUGCCGCGUGUGUGAAGAGGGCCUUCGGGUUGUAAAGCACUUUCAGCGAGGAGGAAGGGGUGUGUGUUAAUAGUACACACCUUUGACGUUACUCGCAGAAGAAGCACCGGCUAACUCUGUGCCAGCCGCCGCAGUAAAAC